rnacentral:rRNA from 1 species
GGCCAGGCUGAAGACUUUGCCGGAUUAGCUGAGAGGUGGUGCAUGGCCGUCGUCAGUUCGUACUGUGAAGCAUCCUGUUAAGUCAGGCAACGAGCGAGACCCACGCCAACAGUUGCCAGCUCGUCCUCCGGGAUGGUGGGGACACUGUUGGGACCGCCUCUAGCUAAAGAGGAGGAAGGAAUGGGCAACGGUAGGUCAGCAUGCCCCGAAUUAUCUGGGCUACACGCGGGCUACAAUGGGUGGGACAAUGGGUAUCGACACCGAAAGGUGAAGGCAAUCUCCUAAACCCAUCCGUAGUUCGGAUUGUGGGCUGCAACUCGCCCACAUGAAGCUGGAAUCUGUAGUAAUCGUGUCUCAAAAUGGCACGGUGAAUAUGUCCCUGCUCCUU